rnacentral:rRNA from 1 species
GGAAACGAGUGAGGGGCCUCUGGGUCAACCUCCCACCCGUGUCUAUCGUACCUUGUUGCUUCGGCGGGCCCGCCGUUUCGACGGCCGCCGGGGAGGCCUUGCGCCCCCGGGCCCGCGCCCGCCGAAGACCCCAACAUGAACGCUGUUCUGAAAGUAUGCAGUCUGAGUUGAUUAUCGUAAUCAGUUAAAACUUUCAACAACGGAUCUCUUGGUUCCGGCAUCGAUGAAGAACGCAGCGAAAUGCGAUAAGUAAUGUGAAUUGCAGAAUUCAGUGAAUCAUCGAGUCUUUGAACGCACAUUGCGCCCCCUGGUAUUCCGGGGGGCAUGCCUGUCCGAGCGUCAUUGCUGCCCUCAAGCACGGCUUGUGUGUUGGGCCCCCGUCCCCCUCUCCCGGGGGACGGGCCCGAAAGGCAGCGGCGGCACCGCGUCCGGUCCUCGAGCGUAUGGGGCUUUGUCACCUGCUCUGUAGGCCCGGCCGGCGCCAGCCGACACCCAACUUUAUUUUUCUAAGGUUGACCUCGGAUCAGGUAGGGAUACCCG